ensembl:lncRNA
GGGCUGCGGCCUUCAAUACUUCGGCCUGCGGAUGCUCCAAGCAAGGUGCCCGAGGGUAGUCUCCCAUCAGAAGCUGUGUCUGUUACAGCCCCCGUGUGUGCACUCCAGCGUUUUAAAGGUUUUGGGAGGUAUGAAUUGGAACUUUCUCAGAUGUAGCAUAUGAAUAAUUUAUUUAUGGAGCCAGCAGAACCUCAUGGAGUUUAAGCGUGGACCUCUAACUCUCAGAGCAAGGAGCCUCCCAAGCCACGACUGCAGGCUUCAUACUGAAUACCAGCUGAGGGAGAAGAGCAGCAGCAGCAGAAAAGCAGGAUUUUCCUUUGGCUAAACAUCACAUUGGAGAACAGAUUUGUUUCCCAUAUAGGCUAUUAGCAUAUUGAGUAUGGUUCUCUGUGCUAUAGAUCCUUGCUGAUUGUUUAUUUUAUGUUUAGUGGAAUUCGAAGUACCUUUCAGUCAUUUGGAAAAUUGUUCUAAAAUUAGAAACUGCUUAAUAAUUUUUUUGUGAAUUUCAUAAACUAAUUUGAAGUCACAACCAAUACCCACAUGAAAGGGUAACAACUCAGUGGAGCUCAGGAAGCAAAAGAGGCAAUUUCAGCAGUGUCUGGAUCUGUUUUGAAAUGUGUAAUGCCUUUAACAUUGCCUAGACUUUAUGAAAAUUGUGAGGAGUGCAAGUUGGCACAUCCAAAGCAUGCAUACGAGAAACAGCACAAGAUUCAGAUGACAAAGGGAUGAAAGACAAUAAUGAAUCAUUUACUAUAAGCACUGACAAUGCGGAAGAGAAAGGAAAUGUUAGUAAGCGUCAACACUGACAGGAUUUUUCUUUUUUAAUGGAGAAGAAAAUUAUACUAGUAAAGCCAAGACUUUGAUGAAGAAGAG